GGGCAGGAAUAUACUUUGUAGUCGAAAGAAGUGGCGUGCCUCUUUUCGGAGAGACACGUCACAAUAUUCGAUGUGACAAAGAUUGUAAUCGCUACAAAAUUGGCCUGCUUAGGAUUAGAUAGUUGGUGGGACAAAAGCCUACCAAGUCUAUGAUCUUUAGUCGGUUUGGGAGAGCGACCGGCCACACUGGGACUGAGAAAGGCCCAGCGCGCCUCCGGCGCGCAGCAGUGAGGAAUAUUGGACAAUGGGCGCAAGCUUGAUCCAGCAAUUUUGCGUGAGUGAAGAAGACAUAAGUACAAU
rnacentral:rRNA from 1 species